CUUGACAAUGUGUUUCCUAAGAUUCCUGUCACAUAUAGGAAGACACUGAUUAUUUUUAGCUGUGGGUGAGCCAGCUGUUCCCAGGCUGACCUCCGGCCCUCCCAAGGACGGCGGAGAUGUUCCUGCUUCUGCUCAGCUCUCCACGGGACGGCAGUGGGGAUGGAGGAGCACCUACAAACUCCCCCCUGAGCUCCUCGUGGGCUGUGGCACGGGAGCUGCGGGUGGGAGGCCGAGGAGAAGCGGGGCUGGCGAGAGCAGCGGGUUCAGAAACUCUGGGGCAUCCCACUGCAAAGAAAAGCCACAAGAUGGAGCUCUGGGGCUUUCCACGGGAGCCGGGCUUGAUUCACGGUCCCUGUGGUGCCUCAGGAGCCCAUUCCCCACCGUGA
rnacentral:lncRNA from 1 species